rnacentral:rRNA from 1 species
UUGCUAGAUUGAUGGCGAGUGGCGAACGGGUGAGUAAUACAUCGGAACGUGCCCUGUAGUGGGGGAUAACUAGUCGAAAGAUUAGCUAAUACCGCAUACGACCUGAGGGUGAAAGUGGGGGACCGCAAGGCCUCAUGCUAUAGGAGCGGCCGAUGUCUGAUUAGCUAGUUGGUGGGGUAAAGGCCCACCAAGGCGACGAUCAGUAGCUGGUCUGAGAGGACGAUCAGCCACACUGGGACUGAGACACGGCCCAGACUCCUACGGGAGGCAGCAGUGGGGAAUUUUGGACAAUGGGCGAAAGCCUGAUCCGGCAAUGCCGCGUGUGUGAAGAAGGCCUUCGGGUUGUAAAGCACUUUUGUCCGGAAAGAAAUGGCUCUGGUUAAUACCUGGGGUCGAUGACGGUACCGGAAGAAUAAGGACCGGCUAACUACGUGCCAGCAGCCGCGGUAAUACGUAGGGUCCAAGCGUUAAUCGGAAUUACUGGGCGUAAAGCGUGCGCAGGCGGUUGUGCAAGACCGAUGUGAAAUCCCCGAGCUUAACUUGGGAAUUGCAUUGGUGACUGCACGGCUAGAGUGUGUCAGAGGGGGGUAGAAUUCCACGUGUAGCAGUGAAAUGCGUAGAGAUGUGGAGGAAUACCGAUGGCGAAGGCAGCCCCCUGGGAUAACACUGACGCUCAUGCACGAAAGCGUGGGGAGCAAACAGGAUUAGGUACCCUGGUAGUCCACGCCCUAAACGAUGUCAACUAGUUGUUGGGGAUUCAUUUCCUUAGUAACGUAGCUAACGCGUGAAGUUGACCGCCUGGGGAGUACGGUCGCAAGAUUAAAACUCAAAGGAAUUGACGGGGACCCGCACAAGCGGUGGAUGAUGUGGAUUAAUUCGAUGCAACGCGAAAAACCUUA